GAUGAACGCUAGCGGGAGGCCUAACACAUGCCAGCCGAGCGGUAGAGCUUCUUCGGAGACUUGCGAGCGGCGCACGGGUGCGUAACACGUAUGCAACCUACCUUUAUCUGUGGGAUAGCCUUUAGAACGGAAGAUUAAUACCCCAUAAUAUAAUGAUUUUCAUCAAUUAUUAUUGAAAACUCCGGUGGAUAUUGCUGGGCACGCGCAAGAUUAGAUAGUUGGUGAGGUAACGGCUCACCAAGUCAAUGAUCUUUAGGAGUCCUGAGAGGGAGAUCCCCCACACUGGUACUGAGGCACAGACCAGAAUGGUACGGGAGGGAGCAGUGAGGAAUAUUAGGCGAGGGGUGAGAGCCGGAUCAAGCCAUCCCGCGUGAAGGAGGACGGUCCUAGGGAUUGUAUACUUCUUGUGUACAGGAAAAAACCUACCAUCGUGGGGGUAGCUGAAGGUACUGUACGAAUAAGCACCGGCUAACUACGUG
rnacentral:rRNA from 1 species